rnacentral:rRNA from 1 species
UACGUAGGUGGCAAGCGUUGUUCGGAAUUAUUGGGCGUAAAGGGCGCGUAGGCGGUGCGGUAAGUCACCUGUGAAAUCUCCUGGCUCAACUGGGAGCUUGCAGGCGAAACUGCCGUGCUGGAGUGUGGGAGAGGUGCGUGGAAUUCCUGGUGUAGCGGUGAAAUGCGUAGAUAUCAGGAGGAACACCUGUGGCGAAAGCGGCGCACUGGACCACAACUGACGCUGAGGCGCGAAAGCUAGGGGAGCAAACAGG